ACAGAAUCGCUUGAACCCAAGAGGCAGAGGUUGCAGUGAGCCGAGAUCAUAUCAUUGCACUCCAGCCUGGGGGACAAGA
rnacentral:snRNA from 1 species